CAGGGUGACCCAUCUUCCUAGUUUGCCCAGAACUACGCUGAUUUUAGUACCCAUGGACUAGGUACUUUGGGUACUAAAAUCAGUACCCAGGAAACCCUUCAUUCCUGGGCAAAACAGGACAGUGGGUCAUCCUGAGCCCAU
rnacentral:miRNA from 1 species